rnacentral:sRNA from 1 species
AUUUUGGACUUUACUUUUAAAAUUCAACAUCUGUUUCGUAAUAUUUUCUCACAAUUUAUUUCUUACAAAGUUACAAGUUGAUUUAGUGAUUGACACUUUUCGGACUCUAUAUGUGAUUUCAAAGAGACAGAGUGCCAUGUCUCAAGAACUGCUAAUCUCUUAAGACAACAUUGUGCAAUUAUCAGUUUUCCAUGUCUUGGACAUCAAAGACUCAUUGAGUUUAUUUAAUUAUUUUAUAUCUGUGAACCUUUCACUCAGCUUACUUAUGUCAUCACCUGUCAAUUUAUACUCAUUGUUCAGUUUCUUAUAAAUAAUUAUGUACAAUUGUCAAUCGGCAGUCUGGAAUACGGCGGCCAGCCUCGGCCACGUCCGACUCACCCAGAGUCUUGAGUCCGGAGGCCACUACUGGCCAUAUCCGACUUGUUUGUAAAAUGUCUGUCUGUUAAAAUGUUAUAAUGUUGCCAUCGUUGAAUCUCGUCCAAUAAAUACGGAAUUUUUCAUCACUUGGUUUAUUUCUCUGGAACUGUAUACUGGUGGACCUUCGGGAAUACGGCAAACCUACCCUUCGUUUUUACUUUACGGCCCACAGCGCGCCACAACCUUAUACCUUAUACCCUCGACGCCAACAUUCCCUCACCCCGUCCGUACUGCACACGGCGGAUAUACAGAUCCAGAAGAAUACCCUAGCACCGUAAAACUACGCGGUCACAAUUGGUGGAUGAAUCCUAAGGGUAACAACAAUGCCCGGGGCUGCUGCAUAUAUUUUGCAGUAGUCUGAUCCUGGACCUCUUCAGCCAGCGAGUUUCUCCAAUUGAACAUCAACUCAGUCUCAACGUAACAACGAUGGACAACAAAAGUUCCAGCCGCCAUGAACUAUGCAGACAGUUUUCUCUGUUCAUUACCAGGAAACAACGGUCAACUGUAGAAACUUCAGCUGUCCUCAGACGUCCGUCACCGGUGUAAGAAAAUCAAAGAACAGAGGAAGAAAUGUGAUAUUCCAUUCAAAACACGAGGACGUGUUUUCCCCGGAGCGGUGGGAAACUAUCACCGUGCAAAAUUCACUGUUUAAUUAUAACUUUAUUUUGGACUUUACUUUUAAAAUUCAACAUCUGUUUCGUAAUAUUUUCUCACAAUUUAUUUCUUACAAAGUUACAAGUUGAUUUAGUGAUUGACACUUUUCGGACUCUAUAUGUGAUUUCAAAGAGACAGAGUGCCAUGUCUCAAGAACUGCUAAUCUCUUAAGACAACAUUGUGCAAUUAUCAGUUUUCCAUGUCUUGGACAUCAAAGACUCAUUGAGUUUAUUUAAUUAUUUUAUAUCUGUGAACCUUUCACUCAGCUUACUUAUGUCAUCACCUGUCAAUUUAUACUCAUUGUUCAGUUUCUUAUAAAUAAUUAUGUACAAUUGUCAAUCGGCAGUCUGGAAUACGGCGGCCAGCCUCGGCCACGUCCGACUCACCCAGAGUCUUGAGUCCGGAGGCCACUACUGGCCAUAUCCGACUUGUUUGUAAAAUGUCUGUCUGUUAAAAUGUUAUAAUGUUGCCAUCGUUGAAUCUCGUCCAAUAAAUACGGAAUUUUUC